GGGGAUGUAGCUCAGUUGGCAGAGUGUUUGCCUCCCAUGCACAAGGCCCUGGGUUCAAUCCCCAGCACCACAA
rnacentral:tRNA from 2 species